CCGAGGUUCCGUGAGGUGGAAUCCUCGCAGCUAGGCUUCAAACCACGGUUAGAGCACCAGAGGAGGAAGAGUGGCCCAGAGGGUCGAGCAGCAGAGGACUUGGUAGCCAUCUUACAAGCCGAGAGCUGCAAGCGCUCAAGACCCAUCAGGACAGUGCCGCCUGUUCUCGGUAGUUUGAGGAGAGAAAAAAAAAAAAUGACCGAAGCAAACCGCCCAAAAAAGCUCCUCAUUAGUGAGCUUAGUAGAGAACUCAAGCAGAAAAUCCUUAGAGCCCUGUUUAUGAAAUACGGGCAAAUAGUGGAUGCCAUUUUGAAGAAAGAUCAUGAAACCAACCAAUCACGAAGAAGAUGCAAUAAUGGUGCGGCCUUUCAAAACCCCGCAGGUGUUAAGGGUGCGGGUGCAGCAGGAGAUGUUCAUGGAAAGCUCUCUGACGGGAAAGCUAGAGUGGAGCAAGGAAAAGCCAACCAUGCCACCAAUGCAGCUUUUGGGGGUGGCAGACUUGGACCACCACCUCCUCCCAGAUGCACUGGCCCUCCCAGAGGUGGAAGAAGGAGAAGAAGACGACGUGGAAGAAGAAGUAGGAGGCUUCCCACAUACGUGGCUAAUGGCAGCUCCUCCACAAAAUAUUAGGAUGAGUUCUUCCAAGAGGGCAGUUUCCAGUAAAAAGAGCCAGCACCUUGAGGUUGGGUUUGUCCUUCUAGAUCAGUGCCCUCUGUAUCACAUUAGAAGACAUAGUUAUGGAAGCACAGCACCAAGUAACCCACUGUAUUACAGAGACUUUUGUUUGUUGCCAGUUGACUGUAGUCUACCAAAGACUUCUAGUCAGUGAUCGAGUUCUAGUGACAAAAGAGAUUAUACACUGCCACCAAGCAGCUAUACUGCCAUUCUGAUUGUCUGGGUCUGUGUGGUGGUGAUGACUGCCCAUCAAGAGGUUAUAGUGAUAGAUAUGGACAUGUUUGCAGUGGUGACUAUUUAGAUCAUCUCAGGUUGAGUUUACUACAGAAGUUUUUUGAGACCAGUGCUCCCCCUGCACAAAGGGCCCCACUUUCCAGUUCUAAUGGAAGUAGUCACCAUGGUAAUAAUUGCAUCUCCUGUGAUAGAUAGGAAGCCCAAACUUCCUAAGUCGUCACCAUUGCCUUGGAAUACAAGAACUUGGGCUCCCCCUAGUUUGGAAAGGAGGUGCCUCCAUGUGAUCCCUAGAGCAGUGCAAACCACAGGGCGUCAAGAAGUGACAAUAGAGGAAGCCAAUCUGAUAGGUGGGGAGGCAGAAGCACAUCCUAGAAAUCCAUAAAACUUUGGACCAAAAUCACCAAAUAUAUAAGAUAAAAAUGAUUCAUAACUACCCAAGGAUUAGUGGAAGGAGAAGUUCUGUUGACUUUUUGAGUUUUUCGGUUAGGUUCUCUGUAGCUUUUAUGUUUUGUGAGGGGGAGACAGCCAUUUAAUUUUGAUAGUAAAAUUGUUUUAGCAGGAAAAUGUUAAGUGUGUUAAAUCCUGACCAAUAUAAGUUUCCAAAUAAAAGCAUUCCUAAAAACCA